AACAUAAUUGGAUCCACAUGUAGU
rnacentral:siRNA from 1 species